UAUCUCUGUAGAGUCUGCAUAUCAAUAAGCGGAGGAAAAGAAACUAACUAGGAUUCCCUCAGUAACGGCGAGUGAAGCGGGAAGAGCUCAAAUUUGAAAUCUUCAAGGUUCUACCCUGACGAAUUGUAGUUUAAAGGAAGUGUUUUCUGUUGGAGUUUCGGUAAAAGUUCUUUGGAAUAGGACAUCAUAGAGGGUGAGAAUCCCGUAUUUGACCAUUAUUUCCAGCUUUGUGAUACACUUUCAAAGAGUCGGAUUGUUUGGGAAUGCAGUCCAAAAUGGGUGGUAAAUUUCAUCUAAAGCUAAAUAUUGGCGAGAGACCGAUAGCGAACAAGUACCGUGAGGGAAAGAUGAAAAGAACUUUGAAAAGAGAGUUAAACAGUACGUGAAAUUGUCAAAAGGGAAGCGUUUGACACCAGUGUUGUUUUUCCGAAAAUCAAUUACGAAUGGCUUGAUUCUGUGUUGUAUUGACCUUAUCAGCUUUCUUCACUUUUUUCGAGUCUUUCUUAAUGCACUUUUCGGUUAACAAGUCAACAUCAAUUUCUUUUGUUGUAAAAGAGUAUUCGGAAGGUGGCUUUCUUUUCGGAGAAAGUGUUUAUAGCCCUAUACUUCUACAAUCGGAGAGAUUGAGGUCUGCAGCGUAGAUCCUUCGGGGUUAGAUACACUUGUGCUAAGUUGUAGCUUUUCAUAGACAACUUGUUGACCAUGUUUAGUCUUGCGGCUUACUCGCUUGUGCUAUUUUACCUACGCUUAGGAUGUUGAUAGUCACAGCGUGUAC
rnacentral:rRNA from 1 species